AUACGGAGGAUGCAAGCGUUAUCCGGAUUUAUUGGGUUUAAAGGGUGCGUAGGCGGUUUGCUAAGCGGGAGGUGAAAUGCCGGCGCUCAACGUCGGAAGUGCCUCCCGAACUGGUGGACUUGAAUGACUCUGCCGUGGGAGGAAUGUGUAGUGUAGCGGUGAAAUGCUUAGAGAUUACACAGAACACCGAUUGCGAAGGCAUCUCACGAAGAGUUGAUUGACGCUGAGGCACGAAAGCGUGGGCAUCAAACAGGAUUAGAUACCCUGGUAGACCACGCAGUAAACGAUGAUGGCUAACCGCUGGGCUUAUCAGUUCAGUGGCCAAGCGAAAGCGAUAAGCCAUCCACCUGGGGAGUACGACCGCAAUGUUGAAACUCAAAUGAAUUGGCGGGG
rnacentral:rRNA from 1 species